rnacentral:rRNA from 1 species
GAUGAACGCUAGCGGCAGGCUUAACACAUGCAAGUCGAGGGGUAUUGGUUUUCGGACCAAGAGACCGGCGCACGGGUGCGUAACGCGUAUGCAAUCUACCUUUUGCAGAGGGAUAGCCCAGAGAAAUUUGGAUUAAUACCUCAUAGUAUAGUACUUUGGCAUCAAGGAACUAUUAAAGUCACAACGGCAAAAGAUGAGCAUGCGUCCAUUAGCUAGUUGGUAAGGUAACGGCUUACCAAGGCUACGAUGGGUAGGGGUUCUGAGAGGGAGAUCCCCCACACUGGUACUGAGACACGGACCAGACUCCUACGGGAGGCAGCAGUGAGGAAUAUUGGACAAUAGGGCGGCAAGCCUGAUCCCAGCCAUGCCGCGUGCAGGAUGACGGUCCUAUGGAUUGUAAACUGC